rnacentral:rRNA from 1 species
AUUGAACGCUGGCGGCAUGCCUUACACAUGCAAGUCGAACGGCAGCACGGGUGCUUGCACCUGGUGGCGAGUGGCGAACGGGUGAGUAAUACAUCGGAACAUGUCCUGUAGUGGGGGAUAGCCCGGCGAAAGCCGGAUUAAUACCGCAUACGAUCUACGGAUGAAAGCGGGGGACCUUCGGGCCUCGCGCUAUAGGGUUGGCCGAUGGCUGAUUAGCUAGUUGGUGGGGUAAAGGCCUACCAAGGCGACGAUCAGUAGCUGGUCUGAGAGGACGACCAGCCACACUGGGACUGAGACACGGCCCAGACUCCUACGGGAGGCAGCAGUGGGGAAUUUUGGACAAUGGGCGAAAGCCUGAUCCAGCAAUGCCGCGUGUGUGAAGAAGGCCUUCGGGUUGUAAAGCACUUUUGUCCGGAAAGAAAUCCUUGGUUCUAAUAUAGCCGGGGGAUGACGGUACCGGAAGAAUAAGCACCGGCUAACUACGUGCCAGCAGCCGCGGUAAUACGUAGGGUGCGAGCGUUAAUCGGAAUUACUGGGCGUAAAGCGUGCGCAGGCGGUUUGCUAAGACCGAUGUGAAAUCCCCGGGCUCAACCUGGGAACUGCAUUGGUGACUGGCAGGCUAGAGUAUGGCAGAGGGGGGUAGAAUUCCACGUGUAGCAGUGAAAUGCGUAGAGAUGUGGAGGAAUACCGAUGGCGAAGGCAGCC